CUGGGUACUCCGGAAGCUUCCAGAGACAGCGUGGGGCGGCUGACGUGCGGGGAGACACAGACGUGGAGGACGCCACGGCCGCCUCGCCCCCAGGGCUCCUGGAGCGCGGCUGGCGGAGGAGCCGAGCAGAUGGUGCAGCUGAGCGUUUCCUGCCUGGGCGGGAGGAGGUGGGGUUGCCGCCGGCGGGGCCUGUGACUGUGAGUGGGGCUCGCUGAGCAGCUGAUGUGGGGGGUGGGGGGGGCGUGGAUUACGCCAUGUGUGACGGCAGAGGGGGGACAACGUGUCGAGAGACGUGGCCUUGGAUGUAAGGAAGGGUCGUGAGAAAAUACGCAGGAAGAGAUACCCCGUGGACAUGUUUCCCUUGGAAAGUGGAUGGAACCCUCUGAGCCAUGAUUCCGCCGGAAUUAAGCAGUGGCGGGCACUGGCCUGGCAGGCGGCUUCUACUGCCUUGGAUUUGCACCUCUAAGGGGUCACAGGGGCCACCCCCGAAGCAAGACAAAGUGUGAUCAUGAACAGGCCCUCGGGGGGCCAGAAGAAGGAACGGCUCCAGUGAUGAAGGCUGAACGCCAGCUCUCUCCCCAUUGUUCUCCCGGACCAGGAGAGGGCUGCUCGGCAGGGCUGGGUUUAAAAACCUUCCAUGCAACUUACGAAGGCAUCCACAGUGACUUCUGCUGCUGUGGUACGUUCUGCCCUCCCCUCCUCCCCGCCCCAUCCUGUUCUCGGCUACAAGUUAUUUAUAUGUACAGUGUCAUCUGAACGUGCAUGGGCCUAUCCCAGGACAUCACACACAAAGAGGCUGCGGUGAACCCAAGCCGCCGGGCCGGCCUGUGGCUCAGUGUCUGUUUCAGAAGUCCCGGCCCCAGGCAGCUCUCCUGAACAGAGCCACUGGAACUCAGGAGGGUCAGGACCACAGCCCAAACAACUGUGACCGAAAACACCCUACAGGGCUUGAGAACUAAAAAAUAAGGAGGGAUCUGGGCAGCCGAGCUGCCUCCUAAAGAAGCCACAUCAUAGAGAAAACUGCUUGCUCUAUCUAUGAGACGGAGGCGGCCGGGGUGUCCUGCCAGCAGACACGGGUCUGUCCAUCACCGGCCACCGCGCUGCCUCUGUCCUUCACUCCCAUUUAAGGGAAAACGAUAUCUCUUCAUCUUUCUGCCCUGGACAUUGGAAAUCAGCGGUGAGAACAGUGCUCUUGCUACAAAAUGCUCAGGUUCUAGAAUGCUCCCAUCUUUCCUUCCAUUCCACAUGGAGUUUAUCCAAAGCACAAAGGCCAGUCAUGGCACUGACAUCCGUGGUGCCCGCCCACCGGCGAGUGGGAAACAGAAGGCUGUCCUCAGAGGACCGUGACUGUGAGCCUGCAGCUGCUUGUGGGUGGGGCCAGCCCGCAGCUCCUCCUGGAGGCCUCGGGCUUCUUGCUGCUGCAUUUCUGUGACAUGUGGGGGGAGGAUCGUUUUGACACCUGCCUGGGAAGUUUCAAAGGAGAUGGCCUCUGGGCAGGGGUUUUAAACUGAAGGGCACCACACAGAUCCAGAUGUGAACUGUGGCUGUUGUUUGCAAUUGAAGCAGAGAUGCAGAGGAUGGAACAGGAGUGCUGGCCACGCUGCUCUAUGGCCUUGGCCCAGCCAAGACCCCCAGUCAAUGGGGCUACGGGACCCCCGCUACACAGGGACCUGGGAACCACCUUUGCCGCGGUUGACCGCUGGGCCCGCCAUGCACCGCCCACACCUGGCUGUGCCUGGAGACUGAGAGCAGGGGGUGAUGGUGGGCCUGGUGUGUGGAGUCCCGCAGCGGGAAGGGUGGGAGGGGAGUUGGGAGAGCGCAGUCACCCAGGGGUCCCCAUGUGGGCUUGUACAAGCCUGGCUCAAUCUGCAUAGCAACUGGGCAGGCAGAGCGAGCCCCCACUUUAUGGGUGAGAAAACCGAGGCACGGAGAGGUGAAUGCGCAUGGAAUCAAUGCCGCUAAGACAGAAGUGAGGCGGAAAAGCCUGUCCUCGCCAGGGGCGGCCCUGUCUCCAGCUCCCAGGUACCUCCCGCUCAUCUGCCCGAGGCUCCUGGGGAUGUGGCUCUUGGGUUUCAGGAGGGCCCUGCUCCUCCUGUGGGAACCACGGACACGUGUGUGCCCGCGUGCCCUGAGCUCACACACACACCACGGCGCAUGGGCAGGGAAGCGGCGCUCCUGGCUACCCGGAAGAGUCUCUCCCUUUUGCAAACGCCAGCCACAGAGGUUUAUUUUUCUCCCUGAGAGAAGGAAGAGUGAAGGCUGAGACUGAGACAGAAGGAGAAGACUUAGAAGCCAGUGAGCCCGGAGCCACGAGACGCGCUCAGAGGACACGGGGCCUCGGGGAAACCGGGCACGGGCAGGGGUUGGUCUUGGCUUCCCUGCAACAUUGCCGCGAGCUCGGGUGCCGUCUCCACUCGCAGGCUGGCCUGUCCUCUGCAGCCAUGAGCUCAGGCACCGUCUCCAUUCAUAGGCCAGCCUGUUCUCUGCAGCCUGAGGUCCCUGUGGUGCCAACAUCCAGAUGCUGAGAUAAUUCUGCCAGGGUGUUGGCUGAUCGGUGAUUGGUGGUUGGCUGUUCUGUGAGUUCUGCAUUGAUCUUGCUGGCUGAGCGUCCAAUGCGGAGGGGCAGGUGCUGUUAGGGUCUCCACUCCCAUCCCUCUCCCCAGGACUCAUCACCCACUGCAACCGUAAGCUGCUAGGGGCUCACAGCCGUGAGUCUUUGGAACGGGUGGUCCCACCUGGCAUGCAGCUCAGGCUACCAGCCCCAGGACCCUGCUGCUGCUCCCCUCCCGCCCACAUCUUGGCUUAGCCGUCUUCCCUGGCUGCCAGCCCCUUCCCCUGGUCUUAGUUGGCUUGGGCCACUAAACUGAAAUAGCACACCCUGAGGCCUUCAACAGCAGACCUGAUUUCUCACCAUCUGGAGGCUGGAGGUCCAGGAUCCAGGCCCCCAAGGCUGCUUUCUCCCCCACUCCCCCACCCACCUUCCAGGACACGCGGACUCCACCCUCUUGCUGCCCUGUCUCAGGGCUGUCCCUCUGGGCAAGCAGGCCCCUGGCAUCCCCCUGUGUCCUCUCCUCCUGUUCUUAUAAGGACACCAGUCAUACUGGAUCUGGGCCCACCCUAGUGACCUCAUUUACCUUAAUCACCUCUGAAAGACCUUGUCUCAACAACAGCCGCAUUCUGGGGCACUGAGGGUUAGGGCUUUAACAUGGGAAUUUGAGGGAUGCAAUUCACCCCAUAAAACCCAGACCAUUCCCCCAAUAAAUCACUUUCACAAGAGCUCUUCUCUCAGGCUUCGCUUCUGGGGGAUCCCCCUUGAGACGGCUCCAUCUAGCUUCCUGCUUCUCAAAGAACAGAGGGGAGAGCCCUGGUGCGAAGGUAACGGGUGGCCUUGGGGGCCUGCGGAUAAGCUGCUGGCACUGCCAGGGGACAGGCUGAGCUGAAAGCCAGGAGGAGGGCGGCGAGGCCCGGGCUGGACCUCGUUCUUCUGAGUGUUAUAAAAUCUGGCUUUGCUCAGAAA